rnacentral:rRNA from 1 species
AGCGAACGCUGGCGGCAGGCCUAACACAUGCAAGUCGAACGAACCUUUCGGGGUUAGUGGCGGACGGGUGAGUAACACGUGGGUAACCUACCUAUAAGACUGGGAUAACUUCGGGAAACCGGAGCUAAUACCGGAUAAUAUUUCGAACCGCAUGGUUCGAUAGUGAAAGAUGGCUCUGCUAUCACUUAUAGAUGGACCUGCGCCGUAUUAGCUAGUUGGUAAGGUAACGGCUUACCAAGGCAACGAUACGUAGCCGACCUGAGAGGGUGAUCGGCCACACUGGAACUGAGACACGGUCCAGACUCCUACGGGAGGCAGCAGUAGGGAAUCUUCCGCAAUGGGCGAAAGCCUGACGGAGCAACGCCGCGUGAGUGAUGAAGGUCUUCGGAUCGUAAAACUCUGUUAUUAGGGAAGAAAAAACGUGUAAGUAACUGUGCACGUCUUGACGGUACCUAAUCAGAAAGCCACGGCUAACUACGUG